CAAUUUCUGUUGAGUUCAUAAAUAUUUUCAUUAGUGACAUAAUUCUAAAUUGGAAGAGGAAGAAAUAAUCAUCAUUUUUUUUUUUAGAUUACUUUGCGCCAAUUUCCUUCUGUUAUGAAUCAAUUGACCAGUACAUGAUGUAAUUUGUUGAAGAGAUGAUUUCCUCUUCAAGAACAACAAAUGCUACACUCUUUACCUCAGAAUUACAGUCCAUAUGUGAAAAUACCCUGCAUAUAUCCCUAGCCUUAGACUAAAAAUAGAGGCUGCUAUCAUCUUCUGCAAGCAUCGCUGAUCACACUCACCAUGAUGAUGAUCUUUACUAGGCAUCAGCAACUCUGGGGGAAAAUAAUUUUCCUUAAUACAGCUCAAAUAAUUUUCCUUAGCUAAGCCAAGAAAUCUACUAGGGAGAGCUUGAAAAUCAAGUGAGAACUCAGCCCAGGAGGACAUUCAGAAUUUACUCUGAUGAUGAGCCACUGAGUUGAGGAUCACUCUGAUAGUACACAACAUCUCCAGUGUCACUAACGUAGUGAUCUUUCUUCAAGCUUCUUAUCAAAUUUCCAAUUAGGUGAAAAGGUAAAGGCCCUGACUUCUCUAGCUCCCGGUAAUAUUUCCCAAGCACAGGUUUAGCUGCCUCAGUCUAGAUUCAAGGUUAAAGACAAUGUAAUUAGGAAUGAAAAACAACGAAUAGGAAAAAACAGAAGCUCUCUUUAGAAGUUUGUUUAGCAGAAAUAAAGAAUGAUACUCACUGCUUCAAUUAAGUGAUAAUGAGGGAUUUGAGGAAAGAGGUGGUGAAUGACAUGAGUUCCAAUAUCAUGAUGGAUGUUAUUAAUCCAUCCAUAGUCGCGGUCAAGUGUCGUAAGCCCUCCUCUCAUAUAACUCCAUUCCUGUCCAAUUUGAGGGAAAUUCACAAACUUCAAGGAAAACAAGACAAUGGCUCCAUUGACAAACUUUUUUCUUUGUAGUGAAAUAUGUAUUAUAAGGGUAAACUAGCGCAUGAAGCAUCCCAUAUUUUUUGGAUGUGGGUAAGUUUGAUGCAUGCAACUUUACCCCUGCUUUGCACAGAGGUUGUUUUUGUGGCUUAAACCCGUGACGUUCAGGUCACAAGCAGAGUAUCUUUAUGGUGAAAUAUGUAUUUCUUCUUUACAAACUAUUCAACAUUGAAUACCAACUUUCAAAAGUUGACUGCACGUCGUUAAUAAUGUUAACCUUUUUUUCAAAUCUUUGAAUUGAAGCAUUAGGAUGUGUAAAAAGAAAAAGCAGCACUAACAAUUAAGAUAUGUUUACCUUUCCUCGAUACCAAGGAAGUUUCUCUUCGUGACCAUGGUGAUGCAAGUAAGUUACAAAAUCCAGCCACAUAACGAAUAUCCAGUAUGGGAUACCGUAGAGCUUAAGCAGUUGAAUGGGACCCAUUACAAAAGAUAAACCUACUAGCAAAGCAGCCAUGGCCGACCAACAUACAGUGGAAGUGAUCACAUCCUUUCUCUCAUUUGGCACAAACAAGUCGCUGUCUGGAUGAAAGUGAGAACCAGUUUUUCCAGGGCUUCUAGUCCAAAGAUAGACAGGGUAUGCAAGCAUUGGGAAAGGUACAGUGAAACGCAGUGUUCUUGUAAUGCUAUCCAAGCUCCUAUAUAUUUUCUCAGAAAGCGGAUGCCAUGAUUCAUCAUUUUCAACAUGCCCGUGGUUUUGAUGAUGAGUCCUAUGGCUAAUUCUCCAUCCAUGAUAAGGUACAAGAAUUGAAGAAUGAAGAAGAUGCCCAACCACACUGUUUAGCUUGGGAUUGUUUGAAAAGCUCCCAUGCCCACAAUCAUGGCCAAGAACAAACAAAGCCCAAAACAUGGUUCCUUGAGCAGCCCAGUAUAAAGGCCAAACAAUCCAAUUGUUAAGAUAAGCUGCAGCUGCAGCCAAACCGAAUACCAGAGCAACAUCCCUCACCACAUAGCUCAUUGAUUUCCACGGAUCCUUAACCCAACAAUGCUUUGGUAUGGCCGCUCUGAUAUCAGCCAAUUUGAACGGUGGCGGCGCUCCAGGAUCAAAUUCGGCUUCUUCUUCAUGUUCAAUCCCAGUAACGCCAUUUGUUCUCUCUUCUUCUCCUUCUAUCGAAUCAACUCCAUAUGGAGCACUGACUUUAAACCCCCAACUCCUCUCUCUAAAACACCCAUUAGAAAAAUUGACGUAGGGGAAUCUCAGAUCUGCAGAAGAAGAAAUCUUGCCAGCGUGCAACAAUCUGAGCUUUAACGAGUUGGUGCGAGAAACGGCUUCAGUUCUGGGUCUAGGAAAUAAACGAGGGAGAGGCUUUAAGCCACAUUCUGAUAAGACCCAGGUCGCCAUUGAACACAGAGAUGGAGCAGAGCACCUCUCUCCGCGACUGCGUCACUCUCAAGCUCGAGAACCAAUAUGUAUCAAGGACGAAAAGAAAAUGCGACAGUAGGUAACAGAUGAGAGCGUGUCAAUGCAUGUUUAUCUUUUG
rnacentral:misc_RNA from 1 species